GAACCCAUGCAGUGAUGUAUGGCUAAAUUGACAAGAAGUCAGCAGAGGUCAUAGUACCGGAUUUUUUUCCGGGAAGGAC
rfam:Sporomusa sphaeroides DSM 2875 SPSPH_contig000007, whole genome shotgun sequence.